AAACGGAACCUAAAGAGAAGUCCACCAAGCUUCAUAAACAAGCAGGGAAAAAUCCAUGAAGGAGAUCCAGUGUAAGCGGGAGCUGUGGAAUUAAGGAAAGCCAAAAAAGUCUCCAGCCACCUGCUCCCGCUUGCGUUCCAGUUCAGUCGUCGCCGGGGAUGGUGGCUUCCUCAGGCCGGUGCCCCCAGCAGUGGCUGGCUGGUAGCUGGGUAUCGAACACACCCAUCAAAGGCUUUGAGGGACUUUAAUCAGAGCAGAGUAAUCCAGAGACGUUUCCUUCAUCCUGUGGAACUGGAAGCAGAGCGGCUAUUAUACUUUCCCUGCCUUGUGCCGUCAGAGCAAGGUGAAGAAACUUCAGUGGAAAUGAGGAUCAGGCCCCAAACCUGUGUUGUUCCUCUCACCCUAGAGGUACUCCACAAUCUAUUGCAAACACCGCAAGCUGCAUCUGUGAGGCCUUGCUCUGUUAAAGACUAUUGUGUCCAAGGUGGAAGGACAGCCAAAAGGUCAGAAUAAAUAAACUGAAUACAAAAUUGCUUAAGGCAAUAAAAAGAGACCACAGGCUUUCAUUGCAGUUCUGACACGCACCAGAACAUACUUCAGGAUGUUAAAUAAGCUAGUUUUUGCGUCUCUGGGCUUAGCUGUUUUCCGUUGUUUCUCCCCCCACUACCCCAAUACUUUGCUAAAACGAUCAGGCCUUAACUGCUUGGUAUCCCUUCCACAAACAUGGGCUGCCUUUAUCACUGGCUUCACUGUGGUCAUUUGCACUGAAAAUACAUAAUCACUGUCAGAGUACAAAGAAUCAUUACGAAUAAUUAGUUACUUCCAAUAUGGCAAGUCAGUCUCAUAAAUCUUGAAUAUUUGGCUUUGGUUUUGGAAAGAGAUUCCUUAAUGGCUACACUUGUGAGACUCUGUUAAUUGAUAUAAAAUUGUAUUCAAAAUUAAAUUUGUUUUAACAGAUCUAAAUCACCCCAAUAAAUCAGCUUCAGCCUA